CAGCCGCCGCGGUAAUACAGAGGGUGCGAGCGUUAAUCGGAUUUACUGGGCGUAAAGCGUGUGUAGGUUGUUGUUCAAGUCAGUUGUGAAAUCCCUGGGCUCAACCUGGGAACUGCUUCUGAGACUGAACGACUAGAGUACGGUAGAGGGUGGUGGAAUUUCCGGUGUAGCGGUGAAAUGCGUAGAUAUCGGAAGGAACAUCAAUGGCGAAGGCAGCCACCUGGGCCUGUACUGACACUGAGACACGAAAGCGUGGGGAUCAAACAGGAUUAGAUACCCCUGUAGUCCCUGUCUCUUAUAC
rnacentral:rRNA from 1 species